rnacentral:rRNA from 1 species
GAUGAACGCUAGCGGGAGGCUUAACACAUGCAAGUCGAGCGGGAUUGGUAGCAAUACCAUGAGAGCGGCGCACGGGUGCGUAACGCGUAUGCAACCUGCCUUAUACAGGGGGAUAGCCCAUGGAAACGUGGAUUAAUAUCCCAUAGGAUUAUGGAAUCGCAUGAUUUUAUGAUUAAAACUACGGUGGUAUAAGAUGGGCAUGCGUCUGAUUAGGUAGUUGGUAGGGUAACGGCCUACCAAGCCGACGAUCAGUAGGGGUUCUGAGAGGAUUACCCCACACUGGUACUGAGACACGGACCAGACUCCUACGGGAGGCAGCAGUGAGGAAUAUUGGUCAAUGGGCGAGAGCCUGAACCAGCCAUCCCGCGUGCAGGAUGACGGCCCUAUGGGUUGUAAACUGCUUUUCUGCUCCAAGAAACCUGAUUACGUGUAAUCAGUUGACGGUAGAGUAGGAAUAAGCAUCGGCUAACUCCGUGCCAGCCGCCGCGGUAACAC